AAUGUCACUGUGGGUGUCUACUAUCAACCUCCCAGCCAGGACAAUGAUGCUGACAAAUUAUUCUAUGAGGAACUAAGGAACGUCUCCAAGCCAACAGCUCUUGCCCUUAUGGGGGACUUUGAUUUUCCAGACAUUACCUGGGAGAACCACACAGCUGUUACAACUCAGAAGGUUCCUAAAAAUCCUGAAUGACAGCUUUAGGGAAUAGGUCCUAAGGGAGAUGGCUUGGAAAGAUGCCCUCCUUGAUCUAUUGCUUGCCAACAAGGAAGAUCUCAUAAUGGAAGAUUGGUUGCUGUCUUGGCCACAACAACCAAGUUUAAAAUUUCUGUUGACAGGAGGGAAAUUGCCAGCAAACCUCAACUCUGGACAUGAGGAGAGCAGAAUUCAGGCUGUUCAGACAAUUUUAGAGCACUUUGGAUGACAGAAUUAAGUCGACAGUUCUACAGAAAAAAAAGACAGAAAAUAAAGCUCCCGUGACACAUUCACUCACUGACAACAAACAUUGACAAUUUAUUUUUCUCCUAACUCUGUGGACUAUUGUGAGAUGGCAAAUGGACACAAAAAUAGUGACAUUUCAAUAAAGGAAAUCUGA